CCCAGGUGGUCUCUGGGCGGGACAAAGCAGUGGCUAUCCUGCUGCUGGCUGCAUCACUGCUUGUUCAGCGGGCUACUCCGCGGGGCUCGCGUCCAGUUACUAUGUGCCCAGAUGUAAAGGCAGCAGUCGCUUGAAAGUCACCCAUCUGCAGUGGCAGUGUGUCUUUCCUGAUUCCAGGUGCUAAGAACGCUCAAGCCAUGGAGAGAGAUGCAUUUGGAGUUGUUUACAUUCAGACAAAGCUCAUCUGGUUGUUUGCAGCUAGUCACAAGAUGCAUUUUAUCAAUUGGAGUCUAUUUCCAUGUUUUGGAAAGAAGAUGCAUCAUUACUUGAUCAAUAAGCACAUGAAAAUAGCCUGCUGAAAGAAUUCACUUUGAAAAUGCCACAAAACAGACAAUGGAAAAAUGAGAUUAAAAAAAGAAAAUGUGAAUAUGAAAGCAGAGAGUGAGAGUGAAGAAGGCACAAACAGAAGGACAUUGGGAACAAGCAGCCGCUAAUCAUCAUCAUAACAGACUCAGGCUGGCUGAUCUGACUAUGAACUGUUUUGAUAAGAUGAAUGACCAGAACUCCCAAUACUACUUGAGUAGAAUCUUCUCCUGUCACUACAAGAAGAGGCUGUGAAGACACUGUUUGAACUCAGACCAUCACAAAAGAACAGUAUGAUUAUUGACUUUCAAUGAGUUUCUUACAAUUUUAUACCUAAUUACUAUGCUGUACAAUAAUGAUUAUGUAGACCAUUAAAUGUUUCAUUAACAUUUUAUGUCUUUUAUUUGAUUAGUACACCAAAUUCUACUCAUGUGUGCUCUGUGUGCAUAGUUCCUUAAACAUACAACAAGGUUUUCUGCCCACAGAGCUUGAUCUUCCCUUGUUUGGAGAUAAAAUUGAAUAAUAUGUAGUCUGUUUUUUUAAUCUCCUUUUUAUAGCCUUAUGUUGGAGUGUAGAGUAUGAACUACCAGAAAAAAAGUUACCAGAAAUUCCACAUUAGAAUGUAAUAAAUACUAAUCUAAGUAUUUUAAGAAAAUGAAUAUUCUGGGUAUUUGAAUAGAUGGAUUGAGUCUUUUGGCAACUCAGCUCCAGAACUUACCAGCAUGUAGCAUGAGUAGGAAUGUUCUCAUUCUGAGUUACACAGUUCAGUUAAAUUUAGGGUGUGUUAGCUGGCAGCAUGCAUUAAUAGUGGUGACAACAAAUAGAAGGAUGUCUUUCUAAACAACAUAAGGUAACCUGGGCUUGAGAACUUUAUAAUACUUUAUUCAUUCUCUUUAACAAAUAUAAAAGAUACAGCUCUAUAUUAUAGAUAAAAACAUUUCAUGUACUUGAUAAGAUGUAGAUUUUGGGUAAUUGACUUGUGAUUAUAAAUUUAAAUCCAGGGCCCAAUAUCCAUUUGUUUACUAGAACCACAUCAAUCACUGCCAAAUAUAAGUUGUUUUAAGAUGAUGAGUUAAAAUUGAGAUUAAAUAAUUUGCAUCGUUAAAUUAAGUUUAAUGAAAAUUGUAUUUGAACCCUCAGCUUUUAAAACCUAGUUCUGCUUAGCCUUUGAAUUUUGUAAAUAAAUUUGACAUAAUGAAUCUGCAACCUUUUAUUCAUUUCCCAAAUUUAGUUAUUUUGAAUUCUCUUCAUUUCUCAGUUAUUCUGUCAUUCUGUUUUGCUAGUUUGUUGAUGUCCUUAGUUUCUUCAGAAGAGUUUUAGUUUCUCAUCUAAUUGUUUCAGAUCUCCUGUGAACUUUCUCUUUUCUCAUGCAUUCUCAUUUUCAUCAAUAUUUGACUUGCAUUAGAAUUUAUUCACAACACUCUCUAUAGCUCGAGGUGCUUUAUCUUCUUUUUUUGACUUGGCCAUUUGUAACAAUAAAAAUAGGAGUUAUUUAAUUUCUUGCAAUCCUAAAACAUCUUUUUCCUAACAUUGUCACAUAUCUUGUAAUGAUGUAAAUUUCAUUUGUUGAAAGAAUAUGAAAACAAUUUGCUAAUGACGAAAUUCCAAACUUGAAAUUUUUUAAAGAAUUGGGAGAUAUACCUAAUGCUAGAUGACGCGUUAGUGGGUGCAGCGCACCAGCAUGGCACAUGUAUACAUAUGUAACUAACCUGCACAAUGUGCACAUGUACCCUAAAACUUAAAGUAUUAAAAAAAAAAAAAGAAUUGUAAAAGAAAACAUAUACAAGUGCAUUUCUGUCUGUCUUGUCAUUCUUAAAUAACAAUAUAGAAGCAGACUGGAUACUAAAAUGCUAGAAAAUAUAAUCAUAAGAAGAUGAAAAAGACAACAUAGGCUUUUCUUCUAGAGCUUUAAGUAGUUAGCAGCUCAGCAUUAAUAUAAAAAAACAAGAAUACUUAGUGACUGUGAUAAUUAAUUUUAUGUGACAACUUACUACACCAUAGUGACAGGUGUUUAGUCAAACUUCAUUUAGAUUUUGUUAUAAAAAGAUGUGAUUAACAUUUACAAUCAGUUGACUUUAAAUAAAGCAGAUUAUCCCUCAUAAUGUGCAUAGGUCUCAUCCGAUAAAUUGAAGUACUUAAGAGAAAAGACUGAGGUUUCCUGAAAAAGAAUGGAUCCUGCUUCUCUUCUGCAACAUAGAAAUUCUACUUGAGUUUCUGGCUUUCAGACACAAGACUACAAUUUCAAGUUUUACCUGAAUCUCCAGCCUGCCAGCUUGCCAUACAGGUUUUAGACUUUCCAGUUGCCAGAACUCACAAAUUGCACAAGCCAAUUCCUUAAAAUAGAUCUAUCUAUCUAUCUACCUACCUAUCAUCUAUGUAUCCAUCUAUCUAUCCAUCCAUCCAUCUAUCCAUAUCUCUAUCUAUCCAUUAAUCCAUCCUAUUGGUUUUCUUUUUCUAGAGAACUUUGACUAACAUAAUUGUAGUAUAGAACUUUUCAAAAUUUACCAUAAAAAAAAACAGUAGUUAACCAGAUCAUAGUUAGUUAUAAUCAAGAUACAAGAAGAUGGCUUCUUUCCUUACAAGGUGAUCUCCCACUUGUGAAAAAAUCAUUUUCUGAAAGAAGGUCUUAAUUAGAGCCAUUAUUAGCAAGGGCUCAUUAACAUGGAUAUUUUAAAUUUCCCUCUGAAAAAUUAUGUUGUAGCAACAGAGGAGACAUCUUGUGAGGUUCACUCAAUCUAUUAUCUAUUUUAUUUUCCUGAAAAUUUUUUUCCUAUCCCAUAUGGUCAGACCACUUCUAAUCAUGUGUGCACUAUGUAAAACUGACCUCUGGUCAUUGUUUAUUGGGCCAGAAAUGGGCACUGGAUUCAGGCAAGAUUCACCAGGUCUUCUCUCUUUAGAUCUGCAGGUUGGUUCCAAAAUCUAGUUUCCCUUGGUUACUCUUGUGAAUAAAGAAAAUGCUGAUUUCAGAGUAAAAGGAGACUUGAAUCAAGGAACCAAACAAACAUGUAAUAAAAAUCAAAGACAACAACUUCUCAUGUCCCACAAAGACAGGGAGAAAGCAAGGUCCUAAAAAUAAAAUUAAUGAUAAUGAGGUUCAGUUCCUGAAGCAGUUUAAAUAUAUGUCUUUCUUCAGAUUCCAUGAAAUAGCCCAAUAGCCUUACACUAAAUUCCCAUCUCAUUUUCACACAUCUUCUACUUCUCUGUUUUUUUCUUCUUCAGGUUAAUUUGAAUGGCUUAAUCACAAGAGCUAUGAUUAAGAUAGACAACCCUUUUUCUUCUGAUAAAAUAAACUAUGAGUUUUCUUUCAUUUACUGCCUUAUAUUUGUAUUCUUAAACACUCUAAAGAGAUAAAGUAAAUUAAAUUUUUUAAAAUUCACUAUUGCUUCACGAAUCACAGCAUCAUUUUUCCUAACAG
rnacentral:lncRNA from 1 species